rnacentral:pre_miRNA from 1 species
AACAAAUUAACUUUUCAGUUUUUAUAUACAAUGUUUAACUUUUCGUCGUAUUCAAAAAUUUUUUAUGAUUAAUAAUUUUAUUCUUAUUAGAUAAUAAAACAUGAAUAUCGCUUUACGUGUGACUAAUUUUUUUAAAAAAAUUCUUUAAAAUUUUUUAAAUAAGACGGAUGAUCAAACGCUUGACAUAGAAACCAAAAGUU